rnacentral:rRNA from 1 species
UACGUAGGGGGCAAGCGUUGUCCGGAAUCAUUGGGCGUAAAGCGCGUGUAGGCGGCUGGCUAAGUCCGCUCUGAAAGCCCGGGGCUCAACCCCGGGAGGCGGGUGGAUACUGGUCAGCUCGAGUCCGGAAGAGGAGUGUGGAAUUCCUGGUGUAGCGGUGAAAUGCGCAGAUAUCAGGAGGAACACCAAUGGCGAAGGCAGCACUCUGGGACGGUACUGACGGCGAGACGCGAAAGCGUGGGGAGCAAACAGG